UGCCAGCAGCCGCGGUAAUACGGAGGGUGCAAACGUUGCUCGGAAUCAUUGGGCGUAAAGCGCACGUAGGCGGCUAGGUAUGUCGGAUGUGAAAGCCCGGGGCUCAACCCCGGAAGUGCAUUGGAAACUGGCGAACUUGAGUACGGGAGAGGAAAGUGGAAUUCCGAGUGUAGGGGUGAAAUCCGUAGAUAUUCGGAGGAACACCAGUGGCGAAGGCGGCUUUCUGGACCGAUACUGACGCUGAGGUGCGAAAGCGUGGGGAUCAAACAGGAUUAGAUA
rnacentral:rRNA from 1 species